rnacentral:rRNA from 1 species
AAUUGAUUAUGAGGUGCUUGCACUGAAUGAGAUUUUAAUAUGAAGUGAGUGGCGGACGGGUGAGUAACACGUGGGUAACCUGCCCAGAAGCAGGGGAUAACACCUGGAAACAGAUGCUAAUACCGUAUAACAGAGAAAACCGCCUGGUUUUCUUUUAAAAGAUGGCUCUGCUAUCACUUCUGGAUGGACCCGCGGCGCAUUAGCUAGUUGGUGAGGUAACGGCUCACCAAGGCGAUGAUGCGUAGCCGACCUGAGAGGGUAAUCGGCCACAUUGGGACUGAGACACGGCCCAGACUCCUACGGGAGGCAGCAGUAGGGAAUCUUCCACAAUGGACGCAAGUCUGAUGGAGCAACGCCGCGUGAGUGAAGAAGGGUUUCGGCUCGUAAAGCUCUGUUGUUAAAGAAGAACGUGGGUGAGAGUAACUGUUCACCCAGUGACGGUAUUUAACCAGAAAGCCACGGCUAACUACGUGCCAGCAGCCGCGGUAAUACGUAGGUGGCAAGCGUUAUCCGGAUUUAUUGGGCGUAAAGCGAGCGCAGGCGGUCUUUUAAGUCUAAU